GUUCAUAGAAAUCAACAGUACCAACAAGCUGCGUCUGGCGAAAAUCAGGACGGGAGAAACCAAACUCAGCAUCAGCAGCGGCGGCGGCGCCGCCAUCAGCACCGGAGAGAAAACCCUCGUUCUGGAAGCUUCCAGAAGCGCUACCGAUCUGAGAAGAAUCUAGAAGGAAGCUGUCGGCAUCGGAAACAGUAACAGGAGAAGAAGUGUUAGGG
rnacentral:misc_RNA from 1 species